rnacentral:rRNA from 1 species
GGGGAAUAUUGGGCAAUGGGCGAAAGCCUGACCCAGCAACGCCGCGUGAAGGAAGAAGGCCCUCGGGUUGUAAACUUCUUUUAUCAGGGACGAAAAAAAUGACGGUACCUGAUGAAUAAGCCACGGCUAGCUACGUGCCAGCAGCCGCGGUAAUAAGUAGGUGGCAAGCGUUAUCCGGAUUUACUGGGUGUAAAGGGCGUGUAGGCGGGACUGCAAGUCAGAUGUGAAAACUAUGGGCUCAACCCAUAGCCUGCAUUUGAAACUGUGGUUCUUGAGUGAUGGAGAGGCAGGCGGGAUUCCGUGUGUAGCGGUGAAAUGCGUAGAUAUACGGAGGAACACCAGUGGCGAAGGCGGCCUGCUGGACAUUAACUGACGCUGAGGCGCGAAAGCGUGGGGAGCAAAC